rnacentral:rRNA from 1 species
AUUGAACGCUGGCGGCAGGCCUAACACAUGCAAGUCGAACGAGUGGCGGACGGGUGAGUAAUGUCUGGGCAACUGCCUGAUGUAGGGGGAUAACUACUGGAAACGGUAGCUAAUACCGCAUACCAUCAGAUGUGCCCAGAUGGGAUUAGCUUGUGGGUGGGGUAAGGGGUCACAAAGGCGACGAUCCCUAGCUGGUCUGAGAGGAUGACCAGCCAAACUGGAACUGAGACACGGGCCAGACUCCUACGGGAGGCAGCAGGGGGGAAUAGUGCACAAUGGGCGAAAGCCUGAUGGAGCCAUGCCGCGGGUAUGAAGAAGGCCUUCGGGUUGUAAAGUACGUUCAGCGGGGAGGCGUUACCCGCAGAAGAAGCACCGGCUAACUACGUGCCAGCAGCCGCGGUAAUUC